UCCUUCCCUCUCCCAUUUCUUCUUCAUUCCUUUUCUUUAUUGCUGCUAGGUUUCUUCCAUCUCCCACCCCUUCUUUUCUUCCCUCUCCACAGCGCAGCCAGGUUCUUCCCUCUCCGUAGCAAGCAAGUAGUGGCUCAAAGGUAACCCUAUUUCUCAUUUCUUCCUUUUCCGCAACAUCGCGCACAACCCCGCCAGGCGACGAGCAACCAUUUUACAAGCGAUCACACUCGAGGGGGCUGCAACCUCGCCAGGCCGCUGGUUCACUAGCGGCAUAUUCGCGAAUGGCUACACGCGAAGGGGUCGAUGCCUCACUAGGUAACCCAUUCACAAAUAGGCACAUAAGAGGGGGACGAUGCCGGGCAGUGACCUAUAGCGAGAUAGCGACAUUGCUAUCUUCUUCUGAAACUCUCGCCUUUUUCCAUCUCCAUAUACUAGUAGGAAGCUUGCCCUUUUCCUCACGCAGCACCGAGUCGAAGUGAUCGGUCUUUCCUUUCCCGACAUUCAUCUUCUCACAGGUUUGUGUCUUAAUCCUCGAUUGCCCCUCCCCGCUUUUCAAUUCUUCCCCUCAUGGCACGGUCUCGUAGCGCUCUUGCUGGAGCACGUCCGAAGGAUCUGUUGCGAGCACUGCAUCCUUCUCUUUUUCUAACUAUUUUCCUUGUUUGUUAGUUGGCACAUGUUCUCCUCCCCUUUUCAAUUUCUCCUCUCACGACAUAGUUGUGAUGGCGGGUGUUGGUCUUGAUGCUUGUUGUCUGAAGGAUCAAUUUUCUUCUUCAGACGUGUUCUUCAAAGAUCUGAAAUCCUUGAAGAAGGUAUGAUGCUCAAUUUUGUUUUGUUUUUUCUAUCUCCUUGGCUUUAGAAAUGUUUGAGUAAUUAAAUUGUGCUAUAGAAGACAUGAAUGGAAGAAUGAGAAUGAAAUAAAUCAGUCUGCAUGCAAUACCAGUAGAUUUACCACCAAUAAGCACAUCUCCCAUAUUAAACUACCAAUUCAAUUUUAUAUAAAGGAGUGCGAAGAGGCAUUGGUUUUGGAUCCUGCUUUCAGGCGUGCACACCAAAGGUUGGCAUCGUUGCUUAUAAGGUUAUAACACUUUAAAAAUGUUCCAUUCUUUCUAAUUCAAGUUUGCAAAUUGAUUGCUACUGGUCCUAGUGUUAUGUUGAGAUAUUGAUAUUGCUUAAUUGCAUAUGAUUCAUUUCCUUGGAGCUAGUCACCCACUGCUGUUAUUAAUUAUGACAUGUAAUUUAUUUAUGAAUACUUCUAUUACAUAAUAAAUAGGUAUAAUCGAAGAACUAUCUCAAUUUUAUCAAAUUCUAUUCUGAUUGAUAAGGUUGCAUCUUUUUUUAUGGUAGAGUUGUCUUAUGAUUUUUGCAUUGUUUAUAUUUGUUAUUCAAAGUUGCAACAUCAAACCCUUGUCCUUACUACAGUCAUUUUGCUUGAUCACAAUUCUAAAUUGUAAAAAAGAUCUUUUUGUAGAAUUGUCAAGGAUUGAACAGCUUUAAACAAAUUACUACCUAUAUAUUUGUCUUACAUUCUUCUGUUUUAACUCACAAUAUUGGUAGAUAGCCAUGGAGUGCCAUUAAUUGCAGUAAUUAAAAUAUAUCCUUGUGUUGCCGAAAAGAAAAAAAAUAACAUUGUUAUUGCCAUAUAUUAAUGUUGCUCCGGAUGUACUUAUGAUUAAUUGAAUUCUAGACAUACAAUCAAGUGUCUGUUUUGUUUACUAUGAUUAGUAGACCACACUGCAACAAAUAUUGUGAUGAGAAAUAAAUAAUAACACGUGAAGUUUUUUAUCAUGUUAUAUGAACUCAAGAACUUGAGAAGAAAAAGAAAUUGUUGUUUUUUGUGCUUAGUUUGUUUUAGCUUUUAAAUUUCAUUAUUCUUUCUUUUGACUCAUUGUGAUAAAUGAUGUUGAUGAGUAAAUCUUAUACUGAAAUAUGCAUUCUUCUAAAUAAACUGUUUAUUAUGGUCAAUAGGUUAGGUUUAGUUGAGAAUGCUAAGAAACAUCUCUUGUUAGGUUAAGUUUACAUUCCGUUGAAUUUAGGGAGCUUCAAGCAAUGGAAAGACAUUUGGACAUGUGUGCAGAAGCCCGAAAGGUUGUAGAUUGGAAGAGUGACCUUAAGGAGAGUGAUGCUGCCUUCACUGAAGGAGCAAAUGCUUCAUCAUUUGUAAACUCAUACUAGCACUUAAUCUCAUUAGUUUGGAUGUCAUGUUAAUGUUGUUUGUUAGCCCCUUAGACUCGACGGCAUGGCUGGGCGCAAGGAUUGGCUCGUUGCUCCUUGGAUCCAGCAAAGUGGGCAUGUGCGCAAGACAUGCCAAGCAGCGGGUGGACAUGGGACAGUGCGCGGGCACUGUCCAAGCACAAGUCGAGCGGGAGGUUGACUUGGCGGUGGCAAACAGAUGCGAAGAAGCGGACGCGCGGAAUCGGAGCAUUUGGCCAAGCAUGGCUCGGAGAAAUCAUGAGCCAUGGCAUGCAGCGGGUGCAUGCAAUGCAGCAUACGGAAGGAUGCAGCAAAAGGGGCUAUUUCGGCCCAAGCCCAUGAAGCAGAACCAUGGACAGCACAAGGGUGCAGGUUGGCUUUGACAUGGCGCCAAGGCAGCGACGAGGUGGCUGGCGGUUUGGGACAGGUGGCAUGGCAGUUGACUGCUUGUAAACUGCCAAACCAACCCUGCCUAUGCAUUAUAAAUAGGCAAGGGGGUGGCAAAGGCAAGGACAAGAGAGAUGUAUGAGCAUUCUGCCAAGAGAGUCACUGUAAUCCUUUGUUUGUGAAUACAAAAAGGUUGGGAGUUUCCUGUACGUUGGCUUGUCUUCUUUGUGCGUGGCUUGUGCAUUCUCUAGCACGUUGGUGGUGCAACUCGGAGGCUGAAUCAAGUGCGGAACUUGACUGCAGUGCAGGAGUUUUCAAAGGUGAAAAUUUACCCCUGUGACAACUGGUAUCAGAGCGCAGAUUCAUGGCUGGUGGUAGCCACGAACUAAGGGAAAGCUUUCUUCUGUGGAAGCCGUGCUUGGUGCGGUGCCGGAUGGAGAGGACGUUUGCGAUCUGGUGGCAAGGGUCCUCAACUUGGAGGCAAGUCUGUUGCAUAUCCAAGAAUCUCUUAUGGAAGAGAUGGCGCAAAUACGGAAGAACAACGAGGAUCUUCGCUACGAAAUCAUUGUUCUGCGAAGAGCAAUGGCUUCUAGUUCGGAAGCGGUGCCUCAACGUCCGUUGGUGAGAGUUCCGGAACCAAAGUCUUUCGGAGGCUGAAUCAAGUGCGGAACUUGACUGUCGCGCAGGAGUUUUCAAAGGUGAAAAUUUAUCCCUGUGACAACUGGUAUCAGGGUUUAGGGAAUACAAUAAUGUAUUCUUAUAAUGCCCACAAUUGCAGGUAAUGGCUUCAAAAUGUGAAGCGUAACUUUGACUUCAUCAACUUGAAGAAGCUGAUAUGGUCAUAUCUAAUGUAUUUAAACUUGAUAGUGUAAAUUCACCAUCCUCAAAUACUAAGUUUUUUGGUAUGCUGGCAAAUUCAUACUUGUAUGUUGUCAAUGUCGAAGUGGACAUGGCUCGAGGAAGGUUUGAAAAUGUCUUCACAAAAAGCAAAGCAGAUUCAUCCUAGAAAUGUGGAGAUAUAUACAUUAUUGAACAACACAAGAGCUAUAUCUCGAGCACGAGCAUUAGGCAAUGAACUCUUUAACUCAAGAAAAUUUAUGGAAGCAAGCUUAGCUUAUGGGAAGGACUCAAGUAUGACCCUGCAAACCUUGUUCUUUACUGCAAUUCGGAUAGUGCGAAAAGGCUGUUGAGGAUUGCAACAAAGCUCUUAGCAUUCAAGCCAACUACAUGAAAGCCCUUCUUAGUUGUGCCACCUCAUAUUCAGAGGUGAUAUGAUUCCCUUCUAAAAUUUAAUAUUUUGAGUAUAGUGUAUAACUAGUUUUGGAUGUAAAAGAUUCAUCAUUAGUUUGUAUUUGUAACUUUGACCCAAAUAUUUAUAGGAUGAAUUUAGAUGAUCUACUUGCAUUUUAAA